rnacentral:rRNA from 1 species
AGGAUAAACGCUGGCGGCGUGCUUCAGGCAUGCAAGUCGAACGAGCGCUUUGGCGCUAGUGGCGGACGGGUGAGUAACACGUAAGUAACCUGCCCGGAAGUGGGGAAUAACUGACCGAAAGGUUAGCUAAUACCGCAUACGAUGGUCCCUCCCUGGAGGGGUCAUCAAAGGCGAAAGUCGCUUCCGGAGGGGCUUGCGGCCGAUUAGCUUGUUGGUGGGGUAAUGGCCUACCAAGGCUGCGAUCGGUAGCUGGUCUGAGAGGACGGACAGCCACACGGGGGACUGAGAUACGGCCCCGACUCCUACGGGAGGCAGCAGUGGGGAAUCUUGCGCAAUGGGCGAAAGCCUGACGCAGCAACGCCGCGUGGGGGAUGAAGGCUCUCGGGUUGUAAACCCCUUUCAGUGGGGACGAAAUUGACGGUACCCACAGAAGAAGCCCCGGCCAACUACGUGCCAGCAGCCGC